rnacentral:rRNA from 1 species
UACCCGCUCCGCGAGUGGUGGGGACUUUUAUUGGGCUUAAAGCGUCCGUAGCCGGCCUAGUGUGUUCUCCGUUAAAUCCGGCGGCCUAACCGCCGGGCUGCGGAGAGUACUGCUGGGCUUGGGGAUGGGAAAGGCCGACGGUACUCCCGGGGUAGGGGUAAAAUCCACUGAUCCCGGGGGGACCACCAGUGGCGAAGGCGGUCGGCCAGAACACGCCCGACGGUGAGGGACGAAAGCUGGGGGAGCGAACGGG